UCACGGACACCAGAUGCAGGGGG
rnacentral:misc_RNA from 1 species